AGGAAAGCUUAGAAUAAACACUAGGCAUUCUUCCCCCAUCCUCCAGUGCAACAAAUAUGUUGCUUUUUCAGAAAUGCUGUGCUGGUGUUUUUGGAACAGUUACUGACAAAAUACAAGGGCUUGUUCUACUGAUCUCUACAAUGUUCCUGCUGUGCACUCCUGCUGCUUCAUUCCCUUGGCCUUCAAUAACAAAAUGCAAGUAUGUUUUUUCCCCUUCAGUAUGUUUCUGUCCAUGGGGCACACCCAAAAUGAUAGAUGGAUGGUGUCUCCAGAUCCUGCAAUUUGUAGCAGCUGCAUCUCUUCUAACAUCCUUAAUUAGAGUGUUAGAAACAUCAUUGGUAGAUAGUUAGCAGCAUUAGCAGAAACAAAAGAAGAAAAGACAUUAAUCCCUAUAGCAGGGUCCUCAAACUUUUUAAGUGGGGGGCCGAUUCACAGUCCCUCAGACUGUUGGGGGGCCAGACUAGGAUGAAAUAGUCCAAAAUUGGGAUUGUUGUUGUUGUGUGCCUUCAAGUCAUUUCAGACUUAGGUCAACCCUAAGUCUAAAGUUUAGGACAGGGGCCAGGUCAAUGACCUUGGAUGGCCUUAGUUUGGGGACCCCUGAUCUAGACGAUCUCAUAAGACCAUAGGUAAGCAAAGAGACCCCCAAAGACCAUCUAGAUGGUCUCAUAAGUCCAUCGGUAAGAAAAGGGACCCUCAAAGGCCAUCUAGAUGAUCUCAUCAGGCCAUCAGAAGACCAUAGAUAAGGAAAGGGACCCUCAAAGACCAUCUAGAUGAUCUCAUAA
rnacentral:lncRNA from 11 species